rnacentral:rRNA from 1 species
ACUUAAAUUGAAGAGUUUGAUCAUGGCUCAGAUUGAACGCUGGCGGCAGGCCUAACACAUGCAAGUCGAGCGGUAGCACAGAGAGCUUGCUCUCGGGUGACGAGCGGCGGACGGGUGAGUAAUGUCUG